rnacentral:rRNA from 1 species
AUAGAGUGCGCCGCUCGCCCCGACCUAAACCUAAUCCAGUGCGCCUCCUCCCCAACCUGCACGCCGCCGCCCGUCCCUUGACCCCCGCCCCCUCGCGCCACACGCCUCCCAUCAUCCGCUCAGGAGCAGCAGCGCCUUCCGCCGCGUAGAGGAGCAGCCGCGCCGUCCGCCGCGUAGAGGAGCAGCCGCGCCAUCCGCCGUGCCGAGUAGUAGCACCUACCACUGGGAAGGAGAAGCAACAAGGUCAACAAGGCCCACCGUCCGUCGAUGAUGAGAAGCAGCGCCGUCGCUUCUGAGGAGCCGCCGGCCGUUCUUCUUCCUCCACCGACGACACGUGUACCUCCAGAUCUCAACAAGUAAGCCGCAAAUCUUCCCGCUGCCUGCCCUUGUUCUCUCUCCAUUAUUGGCAACGAGGUCAAAUUACGGUUUUGAAAUUAGAUAAUACAGGAGAUUAAUCGAAGGGGAAAAGGAACAUAUGACCACCAGCUAGCAUAAGGAUUUCAUUUUCGGUGGUUUGAGGCAAGAUCCGCUCUUCCCUGCCAUGGAUUUUGAUGGAUAGCAGGUUCUGUUUGAAAGGAGAAGAGAUAAUGCAGGGAAGAAGAAGUCACUCAGUUUACUAGCCACUACUGACAUUGAUAUUAUGACCUUCCCAGGUUUAAGGGGCAUGGCAUGUUGGCACCAUUCGCUGUUGUAUGGCAGAGCAAUGAUGUGCAUCCAUUGGUUAUUGAGAGAUUUGAGGUUGCAACUCUCGAAUUAUAGCAUUAUAUAUGUUUACUUCUCAUGCAAUGCAGCGUUUGAUAUUGGAAAUGGCAGCUAAGACGUUCAUUACAGUAUGCUACGGUUGUAAACAAUGUAUCUAUGUUUUGCUUAUACAAUGUUAACCUAUAUAUGCAGGGUUCUUAUGUUUAUGACAUCAAUGGGAAUAAAUAUCCAGAUUCUCUAGUAGGACUGUGGUAUACAACUUUAGGUAUGUAAAGUACAAUCUUUGGAGUGUGAUUUUUGUGAUUAUGUACCAAAGAAUUGUUCAUUCUUUGGGAUAAUACCGCGCAUCACCAUUUUGUUUUUGCAUUUAAAAUUAAUGUAUAAAGUCUAAUUUGUAUUCUUUGAGCUUUUAGUUUCUUUUCAUCUAUAUCAUUUUCUACAUCCGAGGUGGUACUAUUUUACCUGCGUAUCUUUACCUAAUAAUUAAGGACAGAAUAAUUUGGGCUGAGCCUUCCUUUCCUAAUAAAAAACAGAAACAUGAUGUGUGGCUGCACUAGGCCUGGUCUCCUUUCCUAUUUUUUCAUCGAUCUCCUUCUUCCAUGAUGAUUCUUUUCGGUAAACCCUAAACCCUGCCGAUCAACCCGGUCUCCCACCUGAAAUCGAGUGCUUCACGACUCGGUCUCUCGCCCGUAGUCGAACUCCCUUUCCGUCGAGACGUUUCGUCUAGCUCCUCCCAUAAAUAGGUUGCCCGAGAGAACAUAACAGACGGAGCUGCCGGAUGAGCAAUGUAAACCAAGAAUGAUCUCACAGGCAAUUCAUCCGGGUGUGUGCCCUUGCCGAGGCCACAGCCGAGGCCAAGCCAACAGGCCCACAUCGUCGGGAGGUUUCUCGCAUUUGGAUUGGCUGCACCGGCAAGGUCAUCUAUAGUACGAUAGUUGACAACAAUGAGGAGAUCUUCAGGAUCUCCGAUACGGCGUUCACGUGGCCGUUAGCGGCGGAAGAUCCCUUGCUCAGCUAGAAAGGCACGCCAUCGUCAUGGUCGUUGAUAGCGUAUAGCGCAUGGGCUCAUCGACGUGAUGGCGGUGCCCGUUCCAGGGUGCUCUUGACGUCUUAGGAUGCCGAGCACGGCGGAGUGGACAGCCGGCCAUGGGUGCUGGCGGAAGGAGGAAUUGUCACCAUGUGUCAAUGGCUGCGGGGGAGGGUUCCUCAUAUACGGUCGCCCCCGCUCCGUCUCCAGAUAGCCGCAGCAGGAAUAGCACACUCCCUUGGACGAGGACGACAAGAAGCGGCAGAAGCGGCUGGCUGGAUGGAAGCCGUGCAGGCGGGCGGGCGGACGGCUCGGCUGAGGUGGCCGCAGCGGCCAGGGAUUAGGGAGGCGGCAACUCACUGCCUUAAAGUAAGAAGGAGGCCGACUUGGUACACGCACGUGUCCUCCGAGAAAAGAUAAGCAUCCAGAUCUCGUGCAGUUUAUUCCAUUGCUAAUGCUUGUCGGUCUAAUUUGUGGUUUUCCUGCUUAAUGGCGCUCAACUUGGUUGACGUUCCGGCCUUAGCUUCCCAUCCAUGCGGUCCAGUGGUGCCCGUUCCUCUGCUGUUUUGUUGCGAGGGCGUAGCUAGCUUCGAACGACGAGGCGUACAAGUGGGCCCUACAGGAUGACGACGAGCGCGAGGUCGCCGGGCGGCUCCUGACCCUCACUGAGAUCAUUGGUUUAGGGGAAGAGAUGAGCAUGAUGUUGAAGAUGACGAAGGCGAGGAAGAUGGGGAUAGCGUGCAGUUGACAGUUCCAUCACAAUCAUUGUUUGUUGAUUUAUGUGUAUGCUUGGGCAAUUAUGCAGCUUUUACAUGAAGAUUAUAACCCUUUUAUUUUAUUCAGGUAUUGUCUUUUAUUCUAGAAUGCUUACACAGAAAAGAUUGCAGAGCUGUGAUUAAUUUGACUAAUCAGGAACAACGGCUCGAUAGUCUGGAUGGUGCCUUUUGAUUGUAUCCAGCAGUGACCACUUUUGCUUGUGGACUUUGGAAUGAAUCUGAUCUUUAACAACAGUGAGCAACUUGCAGUGUGGGGUUUCGGCAUUCUCUUGGCCACCUGAAUGGCUUGCAGAAGCUGUGCGGGCGAAGCUGACAGUUUGAGAUGGUCAUGUAUGAAAAUGAAUUUCAGAGAUUCAACUUUGUGCCGGCAACUGUCAGCUUUCUCCUGCCAGUUGGUGUGGCAGGCGGAUCAGAUUAGAAGACUAGACGUGUGCAGCAGCUGGUCCUGUGAUGUAAAAUAAUAAUUCAAAUCGCCUAUGAGAUGUAUCCUAACAAUCCUGAAGAUCUCGGUGCCAACUCUAUAAUUCAAAUAAUAAUUCAGGGCCCC